GAUGAACGUUGGCGGCGUGCCUAAUACAUGCAAGUCGAACGGAGAUUGUAGCAAUACGGUCUCAGUGGCGAACGGGUGAGUAACGCGUUGGUGACCUGCCCCGAAGUGUGGAAUAACAGAUCGAAAGAGCUGCUAAUACCGCAUAAUAUCCAGAAGAUUAGACGCUUUUGGAUUAAACGGAUUUAUUCGCUUCGGGAGGGGCCUGCGUCCCAUCAGCUAGUUGGUAAGGUAAUGGCUUACCAAGGCUAUGACGGGUAGGGGACCUGAGAGGGUGGCCCCCCAAAUGGAACUGAAACACGGUCCAUACACCUACGGGUGGCAGCAGUAGGGAAUAUUAGUAAUGGGCGAAAGCCUGAACUAGCAACGCCGCGUGUGCGAAGAAGGCCUUCGGGUUGUAAAGCACUUUUAGAGAGGAUGAGGAAGGACGGGUACUCUCAGAAUAAGUACUCGGCUAACUACGUG
rnacentral:rRNA from 1 species